rnacentral:lncRNA from 1 species
CUCAGCUCACUUCUAUACUGACUUUUUGUAGUGGAUCUGUUUCUAAGAUGUGUGUUGUAUGAACAGGCAAUAUAGUUUUAAAAUGCUGGUUUCUGGAUGAUGAUGCUGGAUGACGAUGACAUGAGAAUACAAUUUUAAAAUGCUGGUUUCUGGAUGAUGAUGACAUGAGACAUUCCUGAUCUUUCCUCUACUGGAGUUGUAUUAUGGUCUGAGCUGGAGGCAGCUGAAGGGCAGAGUGCUGCCAAGCACUGGCAGCGAUAGCUGGACCUGAGUGAAGAGUUGCCCUUGGGUUUAAUGUGAGUCAAAAGCCUUUACUCACCACAAGAGAGCAAAAGGCAGCUUACAACAGGAGGUUAAGUAAUUCCCCACUAUCCAUCUCUGAAGUGCAAACAGUACAGCCUUGAUGUGCCCCAGGGAAAGGAAGCAAACCAGCCUUUGAAUCUUUACCCAACCUUACUGCUCAUAUUUUGCUUUCACUGACAUCUUUUUCAGAGAGAGAUCCUCAGCCUGUAAGUGCAGCUGGAAAGCAAACUGGAAUUUCACAAACAUUGGAGUUGCUGCGUACGAGGGCCCAGCUCCGGGCUGGCCCUGCCGGGGUCGCUGCUGGCGGAGCUGCUCUGGGGCUCGCACUGCUCGGUGCCGGCGCUGCCCGCACCGGGGCUGGUUUGCAAACAAGAUUAAAGGUACUUGCCUUACUGGUAGUCGAAGCUCCCGCGCUGCGGUGUCUUGGAUUACCUUUGUUUGAAUAAUACCACUCACUUUGCUCCUAACGUGCCACCUGCACAGCAAAUUUCUAGCCUCUCCGGGUGUUCAGUUUAUUCAAAGCCUAUUUUUAAUUCUGUUAAUUGUAACCCGUGCUCCGCUACCCUGUUUGGACCUGCAGCAGCAGCCGGGGUGAGGCAGCCGCGGGGCAGGGCUGU